GAAGGCAGCCUCCGCAAGUGAACAUGUCACCCGCUGGGCUGAUCAGGAUCUAAAUUUAGUCAAGGUUGACGCCCCUUGAUGUUGUCAAAUGAACGUGUUUUGGUGUUUACAGGAGCCCUUGAGUCGCUCGGGAGGACUUUGAAGAGCAAGAGCGCCGUUGCUGAGGGGGAGCACUGUGUGGGAUUGACACAAGACAUAGGCAAGCCAAAACCAGCCCUGUGCGUCUAUAUUUACCACUGCAGAACCUGCCAGUGCCUGCGUGUGUGGGACGACAGCAGGCAUAUUGCUUCAAUAGGAAAACAUUGUCAGGGCUACUCGAUGAGAUGAGCCGAGGAACGAGCUGAAGACUACUGUCUCAGGCGCUCCAGCUGAUCCGGGCUGAGUUCUUCGUAUCCGCUCUGGAUGGAGGACAUGUAAGCAGGAGGCAGCGAGCUGACCGGGUCACGAAGUGAGGCUCCCGUGAAGUCGUGGGUCAUGGA